rnacentral:rRNA from 1 species
AUCUAUGGCCAUACCACCCUGAACACGCCCGAUCUCAUCUAGUCUUGGAAGCUAAGAGGGGUUGGGACUGGUUAGUACUUGGAUGGGAGAUUGAUGAUGUCAGAUCUAAUUACAUUGUCAUUGAUU